UACGUAGGGUGCGAGCGUUGUCCGGAAUUAUUGGGCGUAAAGGGCUCGUAGGCGGUCUGUCACGUCGGGAGUGAAAGCUCGGGGCUCAACCCUGAGAGGCCAUUCGAUACGGAUCGGCUAGAGGUAGGUAGGGGAAAGUGGAAUUCCUGGUGUAGCGGUGAAAUGCGCAGAUAUCAGGAGGAACACCGGUGGCGAAGGCGGCUUUCUGGGCCUUACCUGACGCUGAGGAGCGAAAGCUGGGGGAGCAAACAGG
rnacentral:rRNA from 1 species